UACGUAGGGGGCAAGCGUUGUCCGGAAUCAUUGGGCGUAAAGGGCGCGUAGGCGGCCUGAUAAGUCGGGGGUGAAAUUCUGCGGCUUAACCGCAGGACGGCCUUCGAGACUGUCGGGCUUGAGCACGGUAGAGGCAGGUGGAAUUCCCGGUGUAGCGGUGGAAUGCGUAGAGAUCGGGAAGAACAUCGGUGGCGAAGGCGGCCUGCUGGGCCGUUGCUGACGCUGAGGCGCGAAAGCCAGGGGAGCAAACGGG
rnacentral:rRNA from 1 species